rnacentral:lncRNA from 1 species
CCUUGUCAUUAUAGGUGCUAAAAAUCAUUCUCUUGCCUCACUAUAUAAGGGGCAGCGCAAGAUAUAAAGCAUAAGGUCCUCUACUUCAGGACAUCCCCUAAUGCAAACACGUUCGCUUCUUGGCCUUUUGGCUAAGAUCAAGUGAGGUAUCACUAGAAAAAUGGGCUGCUGGGGGUCUUGCGUGGCACCUGGAAGACUCCUUUUUAUAGUGACAUGCGCUCAUGUUGUCUAAAGGGUAUUUGUGUUAUCCUUGGAGGAAGGCCGAUGAAGAUGAUGAUGACAAUAAUAAUUGUCAUCCUGACCAUGUCCUGACCGGACAAUAAUAAUUGCCUUUUCCCCUCAAGGUGUCUUACGGAUAAAAAUAAGGACAGCUAAAAACAUAGGGGAAAAUAGCAUUAAAAAAAUAAAAUAAAAAUGUUUAAUUUGUUUUUAAAAUUGACAAUAUUUAAACAAGACAUGUCAGACACAAUACGUUUGUGGGUAACUCUCUGCAUUUUCCUGAGGGGAGCUUUGUGCCACAAUGAACCUGAUAUACUUUUGAAACGCCACACAACCCUGCUUAAUAUAUAACAGAAAGGCAGUUGAGAGAUGACCUAACCUGGGGAGAAAACUACAAAGACCUGAUGAAGAGAGCACAGCAGAGGUUAUAUUUUCUGAGAAUCCUCCGGAAAAAAUAAUCUCUCAAAGGACCUGUUGAUGGCAUUUUACCAUUGUACUGUUGAGAGUGUAUUAACUUAUGGUCUCUGUGUGUGGUUUGGGAGCUGCAUCGUCAGGGGAAAAACAACGCUGUCCAAGGUUGUAAAGACUGCGGAGAAAAUAAUUGGGUGCACUUUUCCCACCUUGGAUCAAAUCUAUGCUUCCAGGUGCCAUAAGAAAGCUGGAGAGAUAGGGCAGAAUAGUGCACACCCCGGAAAUGAUCUCUUUCAGUUUCUGCCUUCUGGAAGAAGGUACAGGGUUAUAAAGACUAGGACUAGUCGCCUGAGAAACAGUUUCUAUCCAAAUGCGAUUUUGGUUUUAAACACAGUGUAAGGUAGUCUCUAUGUGAGUAUAUUGUAUUCAAUUAUGGGGUAUCAGAGUUUUUAGGGGCUAACCAGGCUGGGAUAGUUGGGAUAGCAGGCUUGUUGGUUUUUGAAUGUCUGAUGUAGAUUUUUUCAAUUUCGUUGUUCUGUAUGGGACAAUGACAAUAAAGAUUAUCGUAUCGUAUCGUAAGACACCUAUGAGGGAAAUGUUCAUGGGCUGGAGCAACAGCAACAACAAAAAAUGUUUUUAUAAAAUGCCACGAGACCCGGUAGGGCCAUUAUCCAUAUGAAGGAGAGUUUUUUCUCUUUUCUCCAUCCAUUUCCCCUUUUCCUCCAGUGGGCUUUUUGCCCCCUCUUGUCAGUAUUAAUGGCCACAAAGGGCCUAUCGAAGUUAAUGUAUUUUGUCUAUUAAUUUAGGACAAACUCAGCAAGAACGAUGCAGUCGUAUUUCCACAGCUUAUACACACAGCUAUCAGGAGUUGUUUUGGUGAGUGACGAUGCAGUUGGAGCUCUCAUUUGCUUUUUAAUACGUUUUUGUCUUUUUCUGUUGCUGGAAUACUUUGUUGGCCUCUAUAUGCUGAAUUUAAAAAAUUAAGAAAAAGAGCUUUCACCAUGGAGGGGCAAGGCAUUUGAGGUACCAAACUGCCUCAAGAUAAAUUGAAUUUCCUAAUUCAGGAGGCAGUCGUGCCCCAGUAGGUUAAAGGCCAAAAGCCUGGUUACAGAGGAAGCUUUCGUCUGGUGCCUAAAACUAUAUAUAUAAUCAUGGUGCCAGGUGAGCCUCGCUGGGGAAAGCAUUCCAGAUAUGGGGAGCCAGCACAGAGAAGGACUGUUCUCAUGUGGGCAAACUUCUUGUGGAGGGGGCACACAAAGAAUUGUCUUUUUGUCAUCACAUCAAGGACAUUUUAAUUCUGAUAGGCAUUUAAUUUAACCCGUUAAUUUAUGUUGUAUUUAUUGGGCUACCGAUGCCUUGGAGUGUAGAGUUUUUGAGGACAAUCGCCCAGUGGCUGCAAAUGCCUUUCGAUGGCACAACCACACCUGCUUAACUGGUGUACACAGGAAUAUGUUAGAAUCUAUUUACACGUGUAUUACAUUUCUAAUCACCAGAGACAUAUGCAGUUUUCUAUAGGUUAUGGUUAUUGUCUAAAUUUCUAUUGCUAUAAGAGCAGGAAGCCUCAGGGCACAAUCUUUGCAGCACUUGCUCAUGUGAGACUUAUAUUAUUGCGGCCUAUUUUUAAUUAGUCUGUUUUGCUUUGGUUUCCCACCUCCCACCUAGCUCUUUGUUCUCAGCUUUGCUGAGAACUUACUUCUGGCACCUUUUUAAAAAAAUCUAUUUCUCCUACUAUGCUAAAGCAACCAAGUUAAUCCAGCAAGUUCUUUGAUCCUUGAAGAACAGAUGUGCACAGAUCUGUGUCCUGUAGUAAGAGGGGAAAUGAAGCAUUGUACUAGAAAGUUAUUACUAUAAUACUUUGAAUGAGAAAUAUGAAAUAUUUAUAUUAAGCUUUUUGAAAUAUAUUGUCUAUAUAUUAUUGUGAACAAGGAGAUUGGAUAAGAAUAAAGCUACAUGAGAUUUUAGGAGGUGAAUAUAAAGUAUGUCAGUUUUACAUGAAAUCACAAGAUAAGAAUAGUAUAACAUAUAAAUUGCAAUUGCUACAAGCAUCAAAAGGAUGAAUAGUGGCAGGAAAUCAUCAGUCAGGAAGGCUUCCUAGCAGCUUAAACAAGUUCCAUGUCUGAGAUAUAAACAUUAAAAUAAAGAAUACUUAAUGAAAAUAAAAUGAAGGAUCAUUGACAGGGAAAUCCAUAUAAUUACUAACAGUAAAGAGAAGCAAGACAGCUAAUAAUAGGGUGUUAAGUCUCAGUGGAAUGGAACAAUUCCAUGAGACAGUCAAGAAUCAGAAUAUGCAAACUAAUUACUAUAGUCAUUAAAAGAGGUGGCAAGGUGGUUGGUAUAUGCUGUUGUAUGAAAACUCAAGACAAAACCAUUGACUCAUCAUAUUCUCCUGCACACUUUAACAAGCACAUUUGCCAGGUUUCUGGUAUCCCAUUUUUGUUUUGCUUACUUAGCAAAAAAAAUUCAAAUAAACAGUCUUUCCAUCCAUUUAAAGUGUGCCUUAUGUUAAAGGAAAAAUCUAAGCAUACAAAUUAAUAUGGAGGCUAUGGAACAAGCAGUCGGAAGGAAAGCCAUUCAAAUAGGUUCUGGCAAUAAUGAAUAAUGCAAGUGUUUAGAUGUUACUCAACACCACAAAUUUUGAAUACAAUCCCAGAUGCGACCUCCCUGCCAUGUUGGAUGUGAUGUAUAGACACUGGUACAACAAUCAAUCCGAUGAUUUCCAGAAGUCCUCUUCAUGAAAAAGAAAGCACGUGGGGGGUGGGGGUGGGGAUGCUCAUUUGAACUACAUUAGCAGAAAAUCUUAAGUAAUGCAGCACAGCUUCUUCAAAUGCCUUAGGUACGACUAUCAAAGGAGACAUCUUGGCUAUUGUAUGCAUUCUGGGACAUCAUGUUUAGAGGAGAUAAAAAGACAUUAACAAAGGACUAUAAUCUAUUAUCAGGACCAAGGCUGAAAAGAAACCAGAUAGUAGGAAUUAACAGGAGGUACCAUAACAAGGUACCAUAACAAAAUCUGAUUUAGAAAGUCCUGCCAUAAAAAGGGAAGAACAAUGGAGAUUUUCCCUUAUGACCAAUGCUACAACAUGAAUCAGUAGCUUUAAGUUGCGCUAAUGAGGUCUGAGCUGCCACGACGGACCAGGAACAAGACCUUGAGGUCAUAGAAAAUAGCAUGAUGUAAAUGUUGACCUGGUAUGUGGCCGCUGUGAAAAAGAUAAAUUCAAUGUUAGGGAUCAUUGCAAAAGGGAUUGAAAAUAAAACUGUCAGUAUUUUAAUGCAGUGUCAAGGGGAUCCCCAGUUGUGGUCCAGGAGAUCCUGUCUGCUCCUCAAAUCCUUGAUCUGUGGAGUGGAGUGUCUGCUUUAUCCUCUGAUGACUAAGUGUCUGGCACCAACUUACAGCUAGGCAUGAUGCUACUGUACCAUAGGAGCCAACUCUUAGGAGCCGAGAUCCCUUCGUAAAAUAUUUGAGGGGGCUGGGCUCCCCAAAAUGGAUGGGCAUUGUCCUUCACGUGGUGUGCAUGUGACGUGUCUUAUGAUCAAUUAUGUGGGAGGGGCUUAAUUGCCCCCCCCCCAUUUUUUUAUUCAAGAUGGCACCCCUGUAUUGUACUAUGCAGCAAAAUUUACCAGCUGAAAAAAUAUUGUUACAAAGGUUGUACGCCACCCCGUCUCUGCCGAGUGGUAGCAAGAUUCCAUGGAGGUUCCAGACGGUCCUCUAGGACCCGGUUUCCAUUGGGAAUCAAGACACAGAGGAAACUGUUGUGUCUUUAAGCAAUAUGGUUUAUUAGCACAUAUUUGGAGGAGACUCUUGAGAGUCCUGUGGACUGCAAGAAGAUCAAACCUCUCCAUUCUUAAGGAAAUCAGCCCUGAGUGCUCACUGGAAGGACAGAUCGUGAAGCUGAGGCUCCAAUACUUUGGCCACCUCAUGAGAAGAGAAGACUCCCUGGAAAAGACCCUGAUGCUGGGAAAGAUGGAGGGCACAAGGAGAAGGGGACGACAGAGGACUAGAUGGUUGGACAGUGUUCUCGAAGCUACCAGCAUGAGUUUGACCAAACUGCGGGAGGCAGUGGAAGACAGGAGUGCCUGGUCUGCUCUGGUCCAUGGGGUCAUGAAGAGUCAGACACGACUAAAUGACUAAACAACAACAACAAUCUGGAUGCUGGUGGAGAGUGUAGCAUUUACAGCAUUCACAUGUCGUGAGGGGCUUGCCCUGUGCACAGCUCAGCAUUGCAUUCAGAGAAGCUUCCCUCUGCCUCAGAUUGUCUCAAGCCAGCCCUCAGGGCAUCUGUCUUUCCACAUCCCUGCAUGCAGUUCUCCCCACUUCCUGCUUCUCCUUCCCAGAAAACCCCUGGCUAAGCAACUCCUUCCCUUCUGUCUGCUAUUCAAAGCCUAGUUUUAAGUUAACAAUUUUCCUGCAACCUACAUUAUUGACACAGACCCAAGGAUUUCUCUGUGAUGGGCCAUCAACAUCUUCUGUCAUGAUUAACGGCUUCUAUCUUAGGUGAGGCCCCGGCCUGUAUUUUUCCACUGGCCUGGCAUCUUUCCUUCAAUACUCCAAAUAUUAUCCAAAAACUACGCCUUUUAUUAAUUUCUAACAUUUGCUAAUGCUGGCAGUUAUGGGUACAUUUUCACCCCCAAACUCUGUUACCCCGGAUCUGUAACAAUAUUGUAUAUAGCAACCCUAUCAGCAGUCAAUGUCGGCUAUGGGAAAGAAAUGCCACUCCCUGUAGUGAAGAAAGAAGCAUACAAGUCCACAGCUGGAUUAUUCUGAAUUAUCCCCAGGGAUUUUCGACAAUGUUGAGGGCUAGCUCUGAGUAUUAAGAGAUUCCUCCUCAUUGCAUUCUAUUUUUAAUUUAAAAUUCCAGCAACAGAGCAGCACAUCUUGUAGGUAUUAGAGAAGUCUUACAGUACUUCAGUAUACUGAUGAUCUGACUGGAGCUCAAAAAUAAUCUUCCCAAUGCCUUCCUUCAGCGCCCAGUCAUUUUAAACAUGUCGUAUAUUCUGCAAAGAUAGUUUAAGUUGGUCAUGAGUAAGUUUUUUCCCUUUCCAGUUGUGAGAAUUUUAAUAGUUUUUCUGAUUGAUAAAACAGACUAGACUGUAGCAGCCUACCCAUAAAUAUCUACAUCGUCCUUAGGUCACCCCCAUAAGACAUGUUUAUGUGGUUGCCACCUAGUGGCCCAAAAGCAAAAUUGUUUCUUUUGAAGAAUUGGAACUGAGCAUGCUCUAGGCAUGUGCUUUUAGGGGUAGUUUCAAGAUGGAUGCUGGACUGAGAACUGAAUUAAGAGAAACCAAGAAAUAAAACGAGUUUCUUUCCCCCUCUUACUGGUGUAACCUACCUUACACGCCACCCCAGUCUCGACAAGCAAUUAGAGAUUCCAGGAAUACCAGGCAUGCUUAACUUUUGGGACAAUGAGGCACAGUGGAGACUGGGUGGUCUUUAUGAUAUAUGGUUUAUUUACACAUAUGUACAACCUGAGCCUAGGAUGGAGGGUUGCACAGCAUUACUCCUCAAGAGGGUCCUUUGCUUCUCUCAUAGGCAGAGCAGACAAAUCAGACAUAUUCUCUGUGUCUCUUUGCUAUAGCCUGUCCCAGUCAGCCUACAUAGUGCUCCAUACCAACUUCCUCUAGCUUGCCACUUUUUUCCUGUUCUCUCACGCCAUCGACUCUGAAAUCCUAAACCCCUUUGGUCUCUGCCCACCAACACACAGCUGGAGGAAGGGCUGUCCCGCCCUUGUUUGGUACUUCUUCGCUGUCUUGACAGCUUCCCUGAUGGGUUAACAAUGGGCCAUCAUAAGCCUCAGGAUCCCUUCCAACUCUACAAUUCUAUGAUUUUAUUAUCUUUCAGUGUGCCAGCACCUACACUUUGGAACUCCCUGCCUAUUGACAAUAGGCAGGUGCCUUCACUGUUCUUUUUCUGCUGCUUGCUAAAAACAUUUUUGUUCAAGGAAGCCUAUCCGGACAUGUUUUACUCACUGUUUAGCUUCUGAUUUUUAUUAUUCUUAUUUCAGGAUAAAGAAAAAUGUCCAUAUUUACACUCCAAUACAUAAUUUUGUCUCUUGUUUUGUCAACUUCCCAUUCCAUUUUCCAUGGUGAUUUUGUUUUCUCCCCCUUUGCUGCAUCCUAUCCUCAAUCUCUUAUAUCACAACAAUAUUACAGUAAGUCCUAAUUCUUUCUGUUGCUCAUACUUCAAAUCCUGCUCACGAAUUCAUAAAACUAUAUUUCUUUAAAUAGUCCAAAAAAGGCUUCCUCCACAAAACUAUAAUCAUUGAGUUCUCUUAUUUUAGCUGUUAACGUUGCCAUUUCUGCAUAGUCCAUCACCUUACUAGCUUCUAAUUUUAAUUACAUUUUGCAUUUUUCAAAUAUCUGUUUUUAACUUUGUCUUUUAUUUACAAUUUUUAUUUUUUAUUUUUUGUAAACUGCUUAGAGGUUCUGUUUAGAUUCAUAUAUGCAUUCUGUUAAAUACAUAAAAUAAACAUUGCAGAUCAGGGACCUGAGGCUGAGACAGUGGCCACAUGUGCAUGUCACACUAAACAUGCAACCAUCCUAAUUAAACCUAUCCAAUUAGAUCUAGGGUGUGUUGGCAUGCUGUAAUGUGAGGGAGAGGUCCCUGCUGCCCUUAAAGAGGCAGUGGUACAGCUAUUCCCAAAUAAGCCCAUUCUGCAUCCAAUGGUUUAAGGACAGCUAACAACCGAUCACAAAUACUAUACAGUAUCUUGAGCGUGAAGAUGUCCGAGAGGGUGGCAGAAAGGCAACUGCAAACACUCUUAGAAGAUAUAAAUUCCAUUCUGGGUUCAUGACUAGUUUCAGGAAUGAUUUGGUUGAGAAGAUGCUACAUGAAAUCAUGUUUGCUGCCAAAAAUAGCCCUCUUUUUAAUUCUUUGUCCUUUCGCUUCAGCAUAUGUGGAGAGAAUGUAACAUGACAUCCUCACGUUGAGCAUUGCUAUGUCCCAUCUGCUCCAGAACAGUCAACAAUACAGAAUGAGGUGAGAUAAAUGACAAGGUGGUGGCAUGUCACAUAUUUUUUCCCUAUGUAGGUGUUACAGUGAGAAGACUGGGAACUGAAUUUGCAGGGGCUGUUUUCAGCAGCAAAUACACAUUUAAGGUAACUUCCAUUCUGAGCCUAAAGGAAACGGCCACACACAUCUCCCUCUUCACAAGCAUGUAAUCAUGUGCUAAUAAAUUUUGUUGAACCCAUUAACUGCUGCUUCAGGAUGUAAAUCUACUGUACUUGAUUAAAAAGAAGUAAAAACAAGUGAGUCCCCUUCACUGCACCACUAUUUAGAAAUUGCCAGCUUCCAUUCAGAAUUAAACUACAUGGAGACAUCCAGUCUAAUCA